CUGUGCACGGGUAAUAGCACCAUCCCAAUCAUUGUCCACGUGCGCGCUGCUGGUCACCACCUUCCACCUGAGAACUGGCAGGUCCAGCAGACGUCGACUGUCGUUGAGGUGCAAGCAUGUAAUUAUAUAAUCAUGCAUGUUCAUGGUUGAACGAACUCUUCUUUCAACAAAAAAUUAAAUAGUAAAGUGAAAUGAAAUGCGAAAAGACUAAUAUGUACAACAAUUUCAAAGCCUCCGUGACAAAGAAGAAACAUCACAGUAAAAGUAUCCAUAAUACACACAUGUACCUGUCAAGAUAAAAGAAGCAACACCUUUCAAUAGAAAAAUAGGCAAUAAUAAUCGACUGCGUCUUCAGAAGCUAGCUUUUCAUUCACACCGACCUACAACCAAGAAAAUGAGAAAUUUGAUAAUUUCAUCAAGUUAAUGGUGUGCACAAAUGAAGCUGAAAUUAUAUAUAUGCCAUAAGGUGAUGAAACCUACCUCUGCACCAAUCCAAAUCAUGUCAGGCCGAUGAACAAAAAUGGCAUGCAACAUCACCUAACACACAUCUGAGUUGAAAAGCAAUAUUUCUUUGGUUCUAAAAAAGUGACGAUACCAGCAACAAUGGUUGACGAUGGCUGCAAGCAAAGUAGUAUGCAUCAGCUGGGAGCAAAAACCAACGAGUUGCUACCUUGAUGCUUUAUAUUCUUCUAUGUGUCUUGUUAUCCCCGUCAAGUCACUGAUGCACCCGGUCGAUACAAAAGUUUGCUAUUUUCUUGUGGAGCUUAUAAUUGACAUAGAUCUGAACAAAAAUGGAGGGACCAAAUAAAUUGCAGAGUUGGGAGUUUAGGAACUAACAGUUGUAAAUCCACACCAAUGAACACAAAUACAACCUGAUUCUGUGGCAGACCUUUAACAGGAAAGGUAAAAUUUGUAGCAUAGUUAGGAACUUAAAAUUAUAGGUCACUAAAGUGCAUGCCACUGCAUCAAGAAAAUUCAUCUAACAGACAUCGAGCUUGUGUAGGACUGUCUUAUUAAGCACAUCAUGCUAACAUGCAAACUCGUGAUUGGAAAAAAGAAGUUACUCUAGCGAAAACUGGUGCUAAGCAGUGAAGAGGGCUAAAGGGAGCACCGCUUCUGAACAUUCUAAGAACAAUGAAGAGGCGUGCUCACAUCUAUGAAGCUAAAAAUAGUACACCAAACCGUAUUGAUUGAAUACGGCUAACAACGGAAAAACAAUUAGUAGUGAAGAAUCUGCAUAGAAUAGUACCGGAACGCAUCAAUCUAGGCAUGUAGCUAGCUUCUGCCAUCAGGGUUGCUUGCUAAUUGCAACGAUAUUCAUACCUGAAGAUUCAAUGAGCACUACUAAGCGAUAAAAAAAGAAAACUGAAUCUGUUCACUCGAUGUGUGCAUGGCCUACAAUGUUCUCACAUAUGAGUAAUUCAUCAAAGAAGCCCUCAAAAAAAUCAUCAAACAAAACCGCACAUGAAAGACAGGCUUACCUAAAUGGGGAUGGCCCGUGACCUGGAUCUCCUCGUCCGCGCUUUGCUGGUCUGCUACUACUUGAACAGAAACUCUGCCUGUUGUGCUGACGCUGCCCAAACUGUGCAAGUCUCAUAGUUCCCUGCAAUUGUUAAGAUCAAAAUCAGCAUCUUUUGCAACUAAUGCAGAGUGUGAAUUUCUCUGAAGAUAAAAAAGGCUUUGCAGAUUCAGUAUAGUUGACACAAACAAAAUGCAUUACCUGCUUUCCUCAAGAACCAGUGACUGAAAGUUGUGGAGAGCAAAUUGCAAAAAUAUGAGCAUUAAUACUUCUUAGGUAUCACAGAAAUUCAACGGAACUUUAACAAGACCAUGGCUUGCUUUUCACACUAUGGAACGUUCACGUAUUUCAUAUUUGAUCCACCUUUCAGCUGGGCAAAACAACAAACAGGUGGGGCACAAUAUCUAUUUAUGCUCAGAAAAGAAAUUACCAAAUAUCCGGCCACGAGGACGUGCGUGAGAGGACGGAAGAGACAGUGUGUGUGACAGCGAGAGAGGAUGUACGCGAGGACGCGGGGACUGGUGUCUCGGGUGGAUGGACGGCAGCGCGAAAGCCGGACUGAGCCGGCCAUCUCUGCGACCCACGCUCCUCCUGCCGACGACGGCGACGUGGACCACGGAUGUGGCUCGAGCUCCUCCGGGGUCGCCGCUGCACGCGUAGAGAUGGAGGCGGGGUGGAGCCUCCCGUGCAUCGCGCCCCAGCCCCGGCCUCCUCGCAGCUCCUGAUUUAGGAACGGGUCGAGCCGCCGCCAACCGCCAGGUCGUGCCCGACCUCGCCAGCGCAGGCCGACGCUGGCCAGUGACCCUCUCCUGUCAGCUGCCACACCUCCCUCUCCUCUUUCCUCUCUCUUUCUCCCGCCUCUCCUCUCCUUCCUUCUCUCUCCCUCUCAUCUUCUCUCUCUCUGAUAGGGUUCGUGCGGGAGCAAGGGGUUGGGGAGGUGGGGGCUGGGGAUGACGAGACGCCGCCGCGCACGAAGAGGAGAGGAGGCGGCGCGGAGGGAGAGAGGAAGGAGAGGAGCCAGCCCGGAUAUUUUCUAGGGCUCGGCUCGGUCCACCCACGAUGGAUGCCCUGGCAACCCACGAUCGAUCGCUCCUGCUU
rnacentral:lncRNA from 1 species